rnacentral:misc_RNA from 1 species
GUCAAAUUGAUCUUGUGCAAUCAGUCUCAUGGGCUGAUAUAAUAGCUUUGGCUGGAGCUGAAGCUGUUUCAUUAUGUGGUGGACCUAGUAUCCCCAUUCAGUUGGGAAGAAUUGAUUCAAUGGUGCAAGAUCCUGAAGGAAAACUUCCUGAAGAAUCACUAGAUGCCAUUAGCUUGAAGCAAUGUUUUGAAAGGAAAGGCUUCUCGUCUUUCCCCAUGUAUGUUUUUCUUUUUGAGGCAAUCUAUAUUCAAUAUGCAGGUAAAGUGUCAGUUGUAUGAUAUUUUGUGAGUAUUCACAUGAUCAUGGCCAAAAGAGCAGAUUUAAUUGCUCCAUAAUCUUUCCCCUGCCUCGAGGUUAUGGAAUUUCAGCUUAGCUGAAUAAAAUUCCAUAACUCAUGAUUUUUUGCCUCCUCUAUU